AUUGAACGCUGGCGGCAGGCCUAACACAUGCAAGUCGAACGCGUGGCGGAAGGGUGAGUAAUGUCUGGUACACUGCCUGGUGGAUGGGGAUAACUACUGGCAACGUUAGCUAAUCCCGCAUACUAUCAGAUGUGCCCAGAUGGGCUUAGCUUGUUGGUGGGGUAACGGCUCACCACGGCGACGAUCACUAGCUGGUCUGAGAGGAUGACCAGCCACACUGGAACUGAGACACGGUCCAGACUCCUACGGGAGGCAGCAGUGGGGAAUAUUGCACAAUGGGCGCAAGCCUGAUGCAGCCAUGCCGCGUGGAUGAAGAAGGCCUUCGGGUUGUAAAGUACUUUCAGCGGGGAGGCGUUACCCGCAGAAGAAGCACCGGCUAACUCCGUGCCAGCCGCCGCGGUAAUUC
rnacentral:rRNA from 1 species